rnacentral:misc_RNA from 1 species
UCACUACUUGCGUAGGCAGUCUGGCUAGAGUCCCCACCUUGACAUGCUGGUAACUAACCACAGGGGUUGCGCUCGUUGCGCCACUUAAGGCAACACCUCACGGCACGAGCUGACGACAGCCAUGCAGCACCUUCGAUGGUGCCCCGAAGGGAAGCUCCGUUUCGGGAGCGGUCACCACCGAUUUAGCCCGGGUAAGGUUCUUCGCGUUGCAUCGAAUUAAGCCACAUGCUCCACCGCUUGUGCGGGCCCCCGUCAAUUCCUUUGAGUUUCAUUCUUGCGAACGUACUCCCCAGGUGGUAUGCUUACUGCGUUAACUGCGUCACUGAACCUUGCGGCCCAACAUCUAGUUCUCAUCGUUUACAGCGUGGACUAC